CACGUAGGGCGCAAGCGUUGUCCGGAAUUAUUGGGCGUAAAGAGCUCGUAGGCGGUCUGUUACGUCUGCUGUGAAAACCCUGGGCUUAACCCUGGGCUUGCAGUGGAUACGGGCAGACUAGAGGCAGGUAGGGGAGAAUGGAAUUCCUGGUGUAGCGGUGAAAUGCGCAGAUAUCGGGAGGAACACCAAUGGCGAAGGCAGCUCGCUGGGACGGUACUGACGCUGAGACGCGAAAGCGUGGGGAGCAAACAGG
rnacentral:rRNA from 1 species